rnacentral:rRNA from 1 species
UACAGAGGUGGCAAGCGUUGUUCGGAAUUACUGGGCGUAAAGGGCGCGUAGGCGGCCAUCUAAGUCAGACGUGAAAUCCCCCGGCUUAACCUGGGAACUGCGUCUGAUACUGGGAGGCUUGAGUAUGGGAGAGGGAUGUAGAAUUCCAGGUGUAGCGGUAAAAUGCGUAGAUAUCUGGAGGAAUACCGGUGGCGAAGGCGGCAUCCUGGACCAUAACUGACGCUGAGGCGCGAAAGCUAGGGGAGCAAACGGG